CAACUGAACUGUAUGUUUUCCAUCUUCCUCCUCUCUCAGCUUUGUAAAGCAAUUCAAAAUCUGUAUUUCGAUUGAACUGUUCAGAAAGAAAUUCAGAGGUUAUUAACACACUAGUAGAGGCUUCCAAACCAAGGUGUCCAGGUGUCCAUGUUAAUUGUCUCCAAGAAUAUGUUUUGGACAGUUAGCCCCAAACAGUACUGCCAACUGUGAAGGAUUAUGGAGAUUAUAGUCCAAUAUAUGAAGACUGCAUCCUGUUGGAGAAGAUUGGACUACAUUUUAUAAAGAAAACUAUGGAUGUCAUCCAUUGAAAGCCUUCGAUUUCACACCUACAAUCUGCCUCCCAGCUUCUGUUGCUUCACACACUGCCAUGUUAACAGCACUUCUUCCUUGGACAAAUAUAUCCACCAACCUGGAUGUUAAAAUGUCUCAUGUCCUAGAUGCAGACAUCUGCUAGAGAGAUUUCCGUGAGAAACAAAACACUGAAAAUUAAAAUGUAAGAUCAAAGAUUACAUGAUGUCAGAGACCAAAGAACUAAAGAAGUCAAAAUAGUAAAUGCCAUUUGAAUGCAUUAAAUCCCCUAGUUCAGCUAAUUCAACUAGUUCCACACCACCAUCACCCAAAAUAAAUGAGACACAAGAUAUAUUUUCAUAUGAGCCUUAAAAUCUCUGAGCGGGGAGUUCAGGGAAAGUUUAAAGCAGAAACUGUUUGACACAUUGAAAUAAGU